GACGAACGCUGGCGGCGUGCCUAAUACAUGCAAGUCGAACGCUGAAGGAAGGAGCUUGCUCUUUCUGGAUGAGUUGCGAACGGGUGAGUAACGCGUAGGUAACCUGCCUGGUAGCGGGGGAUAACUAUUGGAAACGAUAGCUAAUACCGCAUAAAAUUGAUUAUUGCAUGAUAGUCAAUUAAAAGGUGCAACUGCACCACUACCAGAUGGACCUGCGUUGUAUUAGCUAGUUGGUGGGGUAACGGCUCACCAAGGCGACGAUACAUAGCCGACCUGAGAGGGUGAUCGGCCACACUGGGACUGAGACACGGCCCAGACUCCUACGGGAGGCAGCAGUAGGGAAUCUUCGGCAAUGGACGGAAGUCUGACCGAGCAACGCCGCGUGAGUGAAGGAGGUUUUCGGAUCGUAAAGCUCUGUUGUAAGAGAAGAACGAGUGUGAGAGUGGAAAGUUCACACUGUGACGGUAUCUUACCAGAAAGGGACGGCUAACUACGUG
rnacentral:rRNA from 1 species